rnacentral:lncRNA from 1 species
GAUACUAGAACAUGCAGUAUGUUGAUCUUGACAGUUUAUCCCAUGUUAAUUAUGUGUUUGUGUCUGUGUUUUCUGUCACAUUGCAGGUGUAAACUGAAAGAAACCCAAAGGUUGAUGGUGUUACCGAGAAAGGAGGCAUGGAUUACAUAAAGCAUACAAAGAGUCUGGGAUACGUUGGUUUGCUUCGGAGAAUCAAAAAGACUGGAUGCAGACUGUGGAGAAAACGAAGGUGGGAUCAAGGCACCAACCUGCUGCCUCAGCUGGCAGGGUCACUUGUGUGUUCCAGGCUUGAGAUUCUUUGUAUAGCUGCAGGGUUGUGGUCUUUCCUGAACUUCUGACUUAUAACAUUCCCAGAAGACACGUGAUACUAGUAAUAACAAGAAAACACAAGUAAGUUAGAACCUGCCAUUUCAAAACAUUCAUUUUCUG